UACGGAGGGGGCGAGCGCUGUCCGAAUUUAUUGGGCGUAAAGCGCGUGUAGGCGGACCAUCAAGCCUGAGGUGAAAGGUUGGGGCUCAACCCCAUACAGUGCCUUGGGGACUGUUGGUCUGGAGGCAGGCAGAGGUAUGUGGAAUUCCUGGUGUAGCGGUGGAAUGCGUAGAGAUCAGGAAGAACACCCAUGGCGAAGGCAGCAUACUGGGCCUGUACUGACGCUGAGACGCGAAAGCGUGGGGAGCAAACGGG
rnacentral:rRNA from 1 species